rnacentral:rRNA from 1 species
UUGACCUCAGAUCAGGUAGGAAUACCCGCUGAACUUAAGCAUAUCAAUAAGCGGAGGAAAAGAAACCAACAGGGAUUGCCCUAGUAACGGCGAGUGAAGCGGCAACAGCUCAAAUUUGAAAUCUGGCGCAAGCCCGAGUUGUAAUUUGUAGAGGAUGUUUCUGGCGACGUGCCUUCCGAGUUCCCUGGAACGGGACGCCAUAGAGGGUGAGAGCCCCGUACGGUUGGAUGCCUAGCCUCUGUGAAACUCCUUCGACGAGUCGAGUAGUUUGGGAAUGCUGCUCUAAAUGGGAGGUAUACGUCUUCUAAAGCUAAAUACCGGCCAGAGACCGAUAGCGCACAAGUAGAGUGAUCGAAAGAUGAAAAGCACUUUGAAAAGAGGGUUAAAAAGUACGUGAAAUUGUUGAAAGGGAAGCGUUCAUGACCAGACUUGGGCGGGUUGAUCAUCCGUGGUUCUCCGCGGUGCACUCUGCCCGCCCAGGCCAGCAUCAGUUCGCCCCGGGGGAAAAAGGCUUCGGGAAUGUGGCUCCUCCGGGAGUGUUAUAGCCCGCUGCGUAAUACCCUGGGGCGGACUGAGGUUCGCGCUCUGCAAGG